rnacentral:hammerhead_ribozyme from 1 species
AUACAGCUGACGAGUCCCAAAUAGGACGAAACACGCGCCCUGGAU